rnacentral:rRNA from 1 species
GUCUACGGCCAUACCACCCUGAACGCGCCCGAUCUCGUCUGAUCUCAGAAGCUAAGCAGGGUCGGGCCUAGUUAGUACUUGGAUGGGAGACCGCUUGGGAAUACCGGGUGCUGUAGGCU